rnacentral:rRNA from 1 species
UACAGGGGGUGCAAACGUUGCUCGGAAUCACUGGGCGUAAAGCGCACGUAGGCGGAUUGCUAAGUCAGGGGUGAAAUCCUGGAGCUCAACUCCAGAACUGCCUUUGAUACUGGCGAUCUCGAGUCCGGGAGAGGUGAGUGGAACUGCGAGUGUAGAGGUGAAAUUCGUAGAUAUUCGCAAGAACACCAGUGGCGAAGGCGGCUCACUGGCCCGGUACUGACGCUGAGGUGCGAAAGCGUGGGGAGCAAACAGG